rnacentral:rRNA from 1 species
AUUGAACGCUGGCGGCAGGCUUAACACAUGCAAGUCGAGCGGGAAUAGGUAGCUUGCUACCGAUUUCUAGCGGCGGACGGGUGAGUAAUGCUUAGGAAUCUGCCGAUUAGUGGGGGACAACAUUUCGAAAGGGAUGCUAAUACCGCAUACGCCCUACGGGGGAAAGCAGGGGAUCUUCGAACCUUGCGCUAAUAGAUGAGCCUAAGUCAGAUUAGCUAGUUGGUGGGGUAAAGGCCUACCAAGGCGACGAUCUGUAGCGGGUCUGAGAGGAUGAUCCGCCACACUGGGACUGAGACACGGCCCAGACUCCUACGGGAGGCAGCAGUGGGGAAUAUUGGACAAUGGGGGGAACCCUGAUCCAGCCAUGCCGCGUGUGUGAAGAAGGCCUUUUGGUUGUAAAGCACUUUAAGCGAGGAGGAGGCUACUCUAGUUAAUACCUAGGGAUAGUGGACGUUACUCGCAGAAUAAGCACCGGCUAACUCUGUGCCAGCCGCCGCCGUAA